CAGAACAAUACUUUUAGUCCUCUCCGAGAGGGUUGGCAAUGUGAGACUUCCUGGUAGUGUGCACUCUGUCAGAUAAUGUAACACCAGUACUUAUACAGUAGAUGUACUCAUGUCAGUGUAUGCGUUGGUCAGGUUUGUUGAUGAAGAUGUGUUUUGAAGUGAGUUAAUUUAACCCUGUGUGUCUUAAUGCCUGACGCCCCCUCAUCCUUAUUGUGAUAGAACAGAGGGUGACACUUUAUUUAGAUAGCCCGGAUUUUCCAUCUGUAGACGCUCUACAGAUGGCCAUGCGAUCAGCAAACUAUCUUGCUAAGGUUACUGCUAGGGUUAGGUUUAGAAUAUGGGUUAGGGUUAGUAGAUAGUUAGUUGAAAUGUUACUGAUAGUCUAUAGAUGGUCCAUCUGUCGAUACUCUACAGACUAUCCAAAUAAAGUGUUGCCAAACAGGGUUCAGGGUCAGAGUGAAGGUGAAGUUAUGGAUUAACAGCUCCCCCAUCACAUGACCCAGGCCGUCUCGCACCUGCAGUGGGGCUGCAGUACAGACAGGCUACUCUGUAUCUCAUAAACAGAUACUGUCGGUGGUGUUUCCUGCUGUCUCUCUGCCCCGAACCCUGGGUCUGCUAUAUAGAGAAAUCAAAGAGAGAAAGUCCCACUUCCAGAUUCAGUACAUCUGGUCUUCGAGGAAAACAAUUUCUCCACCCCCCUCAUCAUGCUUUCACUCUGAUCCUUCAUUCAAGCGACGCCUACAGGUCACUCAACAGUGUACCCUGCCCCCUCCCCUGUCUGUCUGCUUUCGGUGACUUGAACAGGUCUUUUAAACCAUCACGGUGUUUGUCCUUUGAAGCCGUCUCAAACGAGACUGCGUGUUGCCUUACUAACAUCCAGACACAUAGACUCAGACACACAUUCAUUGGGACUAAAAACACAACCUCAGACAAAUUCAAAUUCACCUAUUGCACGCACGUAUCCAAGAAUUAGAGGUUACAUACACAUUGACACACACGUUCAUCCAAAAAUGCAAAAUAUAUAUGUUGGCAUCAAAGCAGACUGCUUCUUUUAUAAACAGUACUACUGAACUGAAAUAAAUACAAUUUUAUUUAAAUCCAAAAUGAUUGUUUGUAUCUGUCUUGUUUUAUUCUCUUUCAUUAUGGGAUAAUAAUUAUUCUCAAGCCUGACACAAUACAAAAUUGGGGCAAACACCAAUAGACUGCUCAUUUAAUUAUUUACAUUUUCUCUCAUGCAUGAUAUUCUUGGCUACUCCUUUAUUAUUCUGUCUUCUCUCUUGUUCUCUCUCUCUCUCUCCAUCUUUCUCUCUCUCUUUCCCUUUCUAUUUCCAUACUCACCAGACUAUCUGUGCAGUGGAGCCUAAUGAAUGCCUCUAGAAAGAAAUGGGCUGUAAACUGUAUGGUCAUUCUGCAAUGCUAUUGAAGCAGGGUUCUUUAUUGACUCUUUGUCUGGUGUACUGAUGACCCUGCAGAGAGAUGAACAGCAGAGCAGCGGCCGGUAAUAGACAGAACGUCGUCACAGACUCCCAACUGCCACCUGGUGUUGAUUUGUGAAAAGCAGAGUGGUCCGCUUGGCUCUAGUUGAAAACAACAACAGAGCAAUUACUUAUUUAAGCCACAUGCCCUGCACUUCCAUUUGCUUCCGAGAGUGAUUCCCCAGGGAUAGCCAAGAAGCAAACACACGCGCACGCACAC
rnacentral:lncRNA from 13 species